rnacentral:rRNA from 1 species
AUGAACGCUAGCUACAGGCUUAACACAUGCAAGUCGAGGGGCAGCAUUUUAGUUUGCUUGCAAACUAAAGAUGGCGACCGGCGCACGGGUGAGUAACACGUAUCCAACCUGCCGAUAACUCGGGGAUAGCCUUUCGAAAGAAAGAUUAAUAUCCGAUAGUAUAUUAAAACCGCAUGGUUUUACUAUUAAAGAAUUUCGGUUAUCGAUGGGGAUGCGUUCCAUUAGUUUGUUGGCGGGGUAACGGCCCACCAAGACUACGAUGGAUAGGGGUUCUGAGAGGAAGGUCCCCCACAUUGGAACUGAGACACGGUCCAAACUCCUACGGGAGGCAGCAGUGAGGAAUAUUGGUCAAUGGACGAGAGUCUGAACCAGCCAAGUAGCGUGAAGGAUGACUGCCCUAUGGGUUGUAAACUUCUUUUAUAUGGGAAUAAAGUAUUCCACGUGUGGGAUUUUGUAUGUACCAUAUGAAUAAGGAUCGGCUAACUCCGUGCCAGCAGCCGCGGUAAUACGGAGGAUCCGAGCGUUAUCCGGAUUUAUUGGGUUUAAAGGGAGCGUAGGUGGAUUGUUAAGUCAGUUGUGAAAGUUUGCGGCUCAACCGUAAAAUUGCAGUUGAAACUGGCAGUCUUGAGUACAGUAGAGGUGGGCGGAAUUCGUGGUGUAGCGGUGAAAUGCUUAGAUAUCACGAAGAACUCCGAUUGCGAAGGCAGCUCACUAGACUGCAACUGACACUGAUGCUCGAAAGUGUGGGUAUCAAACAGGAUUAGAUACCCUGGUAGUCCACACAGUAAACGAUGAAUACUCGCUGUUUGCGAUAUACAGUAAGCGGCCAAGCGAAAGCAUUAAAUAUUCCACCUGGGGAGUACGCCGGCAACGGUGAAACUCAAAGGAAUUGACGGGGGCCCGCACAAGCGGAGGAACAUGUGGUUUAAUUCGAUGAUACGCGAGGAACCUUACCCGGGCUUAAAUUGCAUUUGAAUAAUCUGGAAACAGGUUAGCCGCAAGGCAAAUGUGAAGGUGCUGCAUGGUUGUCGUCAGCUCGUGCCGUGAGGUGUCGGCUUAAGUGCCAUAACGAGCGCAACCCUUAUCUUUAGUUACUAACAGGUCAUGCUGAGGACUCUAGAGAGACUGCCGUCGUAAGAUGUGAGGAAGGUGGGGAUGACGUCAAAUCAGCACGGCCCUUACGUCCGGGGCUACACACGUGUUACAAUGGGGGGUACAGAAGGCAGCUACCUGGCGACAGGAUGCUAAUCCCAAAAACCUCUCUCAGUUCGGAUCGAAGUCUGCAACCCGACUUCGUGAAGCUGGAUUCGCUAGUAAUCGCGCAUCAGCCAUGGCGCGGUGAAUACGUUCCCGGGCCUUGUACACACCGCCCGUCAAGCCAUGAAAGCCGGGGGUACCUGAAGUACGUAACCGCAAGGAGCGUCCUAGGGUAAAACUGGUAAUUGGGGCU